rnacentral:sRNA from 1 species
AUGUUGGGAUUGCCAAAUACAACUUUGAAAACCUUGUAAGCUUUUUCAGGAUCAUAUUAAUGUUCACACUGUCAAUCAAAAACAUUAUGAUAAUGAACAAUUUUUGAAAUGGUGUUUCCUUAUACUGGGGUUUCUGCACACAAUUUCUAAAUUCCUUGAGGUUCCAUUUGGCACUUUACUCUCUUUUCUUCAGCAAAAGAAAGAACUGCAUCCUUCACCAAGUAAAGAACCAUCAAUCAUCUAUGUUGAAACUUGUCUCUUCCAAGAAAUUUGCAAAAGAGGUUAUCAAGAUAUUCCAACUACUUUUGCUGUUAACCCUCCGAACCACAUUAUUUCCUUAUUACACUGGAAGUUGAUUAGCAAUAUUCUAAAAUUGUUCAGCCAGGAUCAGCAAUCAAAACUUUCAUUAGUAAACUCAAUGACUGAUAUAUCUGGGAAAGAGUCACAGAAAUUCCCUCAAGCGUAUCUAUUACAGAUGUAGUAGUUGACUCCCAUUUUCAUCUUGAUCAGUUGUGCAAGAGAAACCAUGUAUUGAAUUUUGAAGUUUUGGCUGAUUAUUUUCACAAAAGCAUUCAUGUUUUAGAUUUUGUUAUAGCAAACUAUGUUUUUCCCUUUUCUUGGAAGUUGUGGCAACAACAAGUUAACUUGAAUCCUAAAAUUUUUGUUACGUUUGGGAUUCAUCCUCAUCUUGUUGACAGAAAUUGGGGUCACUUCUGGAACGACUUGAUUCAUCUUGUAUCCUCUAAUUCUUGUGUAGCCAUCGGAGAAGUAGGAAUCGAUCUUACUUCAAAAUGUUCCAUACAUAGCAACUGUCAUAAUGAAACAUGUAGUCAAAGAAUUCGCCAUCAGCAAAUACAGAUUUUUCAGGAGUGUGUUCUACUUUCAAAAAAUGUUCAAAAACCUUUAGUAAUACACUGUCGUGAUUCAGGGAAUGGGGAGGCAGCCAAUAUUGCUUUGAAUGUUCUUAAAGAUUCUGAUGCUCUUCAAGUACAAAUUCAUCGCCACUGUUUUUCAGGAACCAUUGAAGAACUGACUCUAUGGAUUGAUAAAUUGCCGAAUGUAAAGUUUGGUAUUACUUCUAAUUGUUUAACUGCUAAUACUUUGAAGAAAAUUCCCUUGAACAAACUUCUUUUGGAAUCAGAUAGUCCGUAUUUAUCUCCCCAUGGGACUUGGUUUAUUUAAUCUUUGGCUACACAAGUAUCGAAGAUUUUGAACAUUCCGACAACCUUUCUUAUCAAAAUCUGCAACAAAAAUGCCAGGGAAGUUUACAAUAUAUAAAGUACAGAAUAUUU